UACGUAGGGGGGCAAGCGUUGUCCCGGAUUUAUUGGGCGUAAAGCGCGCGUAGGCGGCCAGAUAAGUCCGGUGUGAAAGUCAAAGGCUCAACCUUUGAAUGCCGCUGGAAACUGUCUGGCUUGAGUCCGGAAGGGGCGAGUGGAAUUCCUGGUGUAGCGGUGAAAUGCGCAGAUAUCAGGAGGAACACCAGUGGCGAAGGCGGCU
rnacentral:rRNA from 1 species